UACGUAGGAGGCGAGCGUUUGUCCGGAAUUACUGGGCGUAAAGCGUGCGCAGGCGGUUUUGUAAGCCAGAUGUGAAAUCCCCGGGCUUAACCUGGGAACUGCAUUUGUGACUGCAUAGCCCGAGUGCGGCAGAGGGGGAUGGAAUUCCGCGUGUAGCAGUGAAAUGCGUAGAUAGUGCGGAGGAACACCGAUGGCGAAGGCAAUCCCCUGGGCCUGCACUGACGCCUCAUGCACGAAAGCGUGGGGAGCAAACAGG
rnacentral:rRNA from 1 species